ACAGCUUAGCACCGUAGAAGGCGAAACCUCUAACCAAUGUGCCGGGAGAUUCCGACUGGAGUCUGGGGAGAGAGACGGAGAAGAUGCAGUAUCAAGUCCACUCAACAGCCCGAUUCAUUUGGAGAACCCUGAGUUUCAAACUCGAUGGUACUUUAAAUAUUUACUUGGAAAACUGCACCAGAAUUAUGUUGGGUUGGACGCUGAAAAAGAGGCAUACCUGUUGUCCGUCAUCGUAACAGAUGCUAACAAUCACAACGUGCCUCAGUAUCGGGCGGUGCUGUGGCAGAAGUCGGGUGCCAAAAGAAUCAGCCUUCCGUACAAUCCGAGUAAGCCGCAGACUGUCAAAAGUAUUAUCAG